CAGUUCGGGAGUUCGGAGCGGGUUCGCGAAUCAUUUGAGUCAUAAAAUAUAUUUCAUGACACUUAUAUCAGCAACUGCAGACGUUGCAAAUCCGGGUAUCUGAAUGAUUUCUGAAGCUCAUGUGACACUGAAGACUGCAGUAAUGACGCUGAAAAUACAGCUGGGCAUCACAGAAAUAAAUUAUAUUUGAACAUGUAUUCAAAUAGAAAACAGCUAUUGUAAACUGUAAUAAUAUUUCACAAUAUUGCUGUAUCAGAUACUCAUAAUUAUGUAGUAUUUACUCUAUCAAAUACAAGCAGGGACUGAUUCACUAAUGCACAUGCAUGCAUUUUCAAGAGUGCUUUUUUAUACUUUAAAAAAAGCUUAAUUAAUCCCAUUUUUUGUAAUGUAAUUAAUAUUGUUCAGCCAUCUUAACAUCAUCCUAAUCUCUGUAUCCACAGCACCUGUGCCUGUGUGGAGUACUUGGUAAAGCUCUGGAAGUCUUGAUCAGUAAUGUCAGCAUCCAAUGCAUCCACGGUAAGAGGAAGCAUAAACGAAACAAGAUCUUUGCAGAUUUCCGGGCGCUGAAGAGUGGGAUUCUCGUGUGCACAGACGUCAUGGCCAUACCAGAAGUGAACUGAGUGCUUCAGUACGACCCACUGAGCAGUGCAAGGUUACCAGGACAUUCAUCAACUUGAGCUCACAACUGUUUGGACACCCAUUCACUAGAAAGCAUCUAUUUGUGAGCAAGUGAUGCAAUGCUACAUUUCUCCAAAGUGGAAGAAGAAAAAAACUCUUGGAUGGUUUGAGGGAUUUAGAUUUUGACUACCAAGACGUAAAGAAGCUUUUAAAUGACACUCGUCUGCUGAAGAAACUCAAGAAAGGAAAGAUCAGUGAAGAGGACCUUGACAAGCACAUGAGUUCAGCGGGCACCUCUUAUCCCAAACGAGCAGAUGCAAACAGUUCUGAUGGAGAUGGAGAAUGACAGUUAUUUCUGUAACUUUAUGCACCUAAAUUGACAUUUAGAUUAAAAUUGUCAUUUGACUUCAUUUUCAUUUCAUUCUGUAGUGUACAAGAGAAUACAUUCUUAACAAAUGCGCUUCUGUAU